rnacentral:rRNA from 1 species
AUUGAACGCUGGCGGCAGGCCUAACACAUGCAAGUCGAACGAGUGGCGGACGGGUGAGUAAUGUCUGGGAAACUGCCUGAUGGAGGGGGAUAACUACUGGAAACGGUAGCUAAUACCGCAUACCAUCGGAUGUGCCCAGAUGGGAUUAGCUAGUAGGUGGUGAAAAGGCUCACCUAGGCGACGAUCCCUAGCUAGUCUGAGAGGAUGACCAGCCACAAUGAAACUGAGACACGGUCAAGACUCCUACGGGAGGCGGCAGAGGGGAAUAUUGAACAAUGGGCGCAAGCGUGAUGCAGCAAUGCCGUGUGUAUGGAGAAGGCCUUCGGGUUGAAAAGUACUUUCAACGGGGAGCGUUUCACGAAGAAGAAGCACCGGCUAACUCCGUGCCAGCAGCCGCGGUAAUUC